rnacentral:rRNA from 1 species
CCUACGGGGGGGCAGCAGUGGGGAAUAUUGGACAAUGGGGGGCAACCCUGAUCCAGCGACGCCGCGUGUGUGAAGAAGGCCUGCGGGUUGUAAAGCACUUUUAGUGGGGAUGAAAAGCCUGGAGCUAACACCUCCGGGUCUUGACCUAACCCACAGAAAAAGCACCGGCUAACUCUGUGCCAGCAGCCG